rnacentral:rRNA from 1 species
AUUGAACGCUGGCGGCAGGCUUAACACAUGCAAGUCGAGCGGGGUGAUGGUGCUUGCACUAUCACUUAGCGGCGGACGGGUGAGUAAUGCUUAGGAAUCUGCCUAUUAGUGGGGGACAACAUCUCGAAAGGGAUGCUAAUACCGCAUACGUCCUACGGGAGAAAGCAGGGGAUCACUUGUGACCUUGCGCUACUAGAUGCGCCUAAGUCGGAUUAGCUAGUUGGUGGGGUAAAGGCCUACCAAGGCGACGAUCUGUAGCGGGUCUGAGAGGAUGAGCCGCCACGCUGGGACUGAGACACGGCCCAGGCUCGUACGGGAGGGAGCAGUGGGGAAGAUUGGACAAUGGGGGGAACCCUGAUCCAGCCAUGCAGCGUGUGUGAAGAAGGCCUUAUGGUUGUAAAGCACUUUAAGCGAGGAGGAGGCUCUUUUGGUUAAUACCCAAGAUGAGUGGACGUUACUCGCAGAAUAAGCACCGGCUAACUCUGUGCCAGCCGCCGCGGUAA